rnacentral:rRNA from 1 species
UACGAGAGGCCCAAACGUUAUUCGGAAUUACUGGGCUUAAAGAGUUCGUAGGCGGCGCAGAAAGUAGGGUGUGAAAGCCCUCGGCUCAACCGAGGAAUUGCGCUCUAAACUACUGUGCUUGAGGAAUCUAGAGGUGAGCGGAACUGAUGGUGGAGCGGUGAAAUGCGUUGAUAUCAUCAGGAACACCGGAGGCGAAGGCGGCUCACUGGGACGGUACUGACGCUAAGGCGCGAAAGCGUGGGGAGCGAACAGG